AGCCUACUCCUUUCGUUCAAAAAUACUCGUCGAAAGAAUGGAUGUAUCUAGAUGUAUUUUAGUUCUAGAUACAUUCAUUUUUAUACAUUUCUUUAACAAAUAUUUUCGAACGGAGGGAGUAUUAU
rfam:Triticum urartu cultivar G1812 contig724373, whole genome shotgun sequence.